GGUUAAGCGACUAAGCGUACACGGUGGAUGCCCUGGCAGUCAGAGGCGAUGAAGGACGUGCUAAUCUGCGAUAAGCGUCGGUAAGGUGAUAUGAACCGUUAUAACCGGCGAUUUCCGAAUGGGGAAACCCAGUGUGAUUCGUCACACUAUCAUUAACUGAAUCCAUAGGUUAAUGAGGCGAACCGGGGGAACUGAAACAUCUAAGUACCCCGAGGAAAAGAAAUCAACCGAGAUUCCCCAAGUAGCGGCGAGCGAACGGGGAGCAGCCCAGAGCCUGAAUCAGUGUGUGUGUUAGUGGAAGCGUCUGGAAAGGCGCGCGAUACAGGGUGACAGCCCCGUACACAAAAAUGCACAUACUGUGAGCUCGAUGAGUAGGGCGGGACACGUGGUAUCCUGUCUGAAUAUGGGGGGACCAUCCUCCAAGGCUAAAUACUCCUGACUGACCGAUAGUGAACCAGUACCGUGAGGGAAAGGCGAAAAGAACCCCGGCGAGGGGAGUGAAAAAGAACCUGAAACCGUGUACGUACAAGCAGUGGGAGCACGCUUAGGCGUGUGACUGCGUACCUUUUGUAUAAUGGGUCAGCGACUUAUAUUCUGUAGCAAGGUUAACCGAAUAGGGGAGCCGAAGGGAAACCGAGUCUUAACUGGGCGUUAAGUUGCAGGGUAUAGACCCGAAACCCGGUGAUCUAGCCAUGGGCAGGUUGAAGGUUGGGUAACACUAACUGGAGGACCGAACCGACUAAUGUUGAAAAAUUAGCGGAUGACUUGUGGCUGGGGGUGAAAGGCCAAUCAAACCGGGAGAUAGCUGGUUCUCCCCGAAAGCUAUUUAGGUAGCGCCUCGUGAAUUCAUCUCCGGGGGUAGAGCACUGUUUCGGCAAGGGGGUCAUCCCGACUUACCAACCCGAUGCAAACUGCGAAUACCGGAGAAUGUUAUCACGGGAGACACACGGCGGGUGCUAACGUCCGUCGUGAAGAGGGAAACAACCCAGACCGCCAGCUAAGGUCCCAAAGUCAUGGUUAAGUGGGAAACGAUGUGGGAAGGCCCAGACAGCCAGGAUGUUGGCUUAGAAGCAGCCAUCAUUUAAAGAAAGCGUAAUAGCUCACUGGUCGAGUCGGCCUGCGCGGAAGAUGUAACGGGGCUAAACCAUGCACCGAAGCUGCGGCAGCGACGCUUAUGCGUUGUUGGGUAGGGGAGCGUUCUGUAAGCCUGUGAAGGUGUGCUGUGAGGCAUGCUGGAGGUAUCAGAAGUGCGAAUGCUGACAUAAGUAACGAUAAAGCGGGUGAAAAGCCCGCUCGCCGGAAGACCAAGGGUUCCUGUCCAACGUUAAUCGGGGCAGGGUGAGUCGACCCCUAAGGCGAGGCCGAAAGGCGUAGUCGAUGGGAAACAGGUUAAUAUUCCUGUACUUGGUGUUACUGCGAAGGGGGGACGGAGAAGGCUAUGUUGGCCGGGCGACGGUUGUCCCGGUUUAAGCGUGUAGGCUGGUUUUCCAGGCAAAUCCGGAAAAUCAAGGCUGAGGCGUGAUGACGAGGCACUACGGUGCUGAAGCAACAAAUGCCCUGCUUCCAGGAAAAGCCUCUAAGCAUCAGGUAACAUCAAAUCGUACCCCAAACCGACACAGGUGGUCAGGUAGAGAAUACCAAGGCGCUUGAGAGAACUCGGGUGAAGGAACUAGGCAAAAUGGUGCCGUAACUUCGGGAGAAGGCACGCUGAUAUGUAGGUGAAGUCCCUCGCGGAUGGAGCUGAAAUCAGUCGAAGAUACCAGCUGGCUGCAACUGUUUAUUAAAAACACAGCACUGUGCAAACACGAAAGUGGACGUAUACGGUGUGACGCCUGCCCGGUGCCGGAAGGUUAAUUGAUGGGGUCAGCGCAAGCGAAGCUCUUGAUCGAAGCCCCGGUAAACGGCGGCCGUAACUAUAACGGUCCUAAGGUAGCGAAAUUCCUUGUCGGGUAAGUUCCGACCUGCACGAAUGGCGUAAUGAUGGCCAGGCUGUCUCCACCCGAGACUCAGUGAAAUUGAACUCGCUGUGAAGAUGCAGUGUACCCGCGGCAAGACGGAAAGACCCCGUGAACCUUUACUAUAGCUUGACACUGAACAUUGAGCCUUGAUGUGUAGGAUAGGUGGGAGGCUUAGAAGUGUGGACGCCAGUCUGCAUGGAGCCGACCUUGAAAUACCACCCUUUAAUGUUUGAUGUUCUAACGUUGACCCGUAAUCCGGGUUGCGGACAGUGUCUGGUGGGUAGUUUGACUGGGGCGGUCUCCUCCUAAAGAGUAACGGAGGAGCACGAAGGUUGGCUAAUCCUGGUCGGACAUCAGGAGGUUAGUGCAAUGGCAUAAGCCAGCUUGACUGCGAGCGUGACGGCGCGAGCAGGUGCGAAAGCAGGUCAUAGUGAUCCGGUGGUUCUGAAUGGAAGGGCCAUCGCUCAACGGAUAAAAGGUACUCCGGGGAUAACAGGCUGAUACCGCCCAAGAGUUCAUAUCGACGGCGGUGUUUGGCACCUCGAUGUCGGCUCAUCACAUCCUGGGGCUGAAGUAGGUCCCAAGGGUAUGGCUGUUCGCCAUUUAAAGUGGUACGCGAGCUGGGUUUAGAACGUCGUGAGACAGUUCGGUCCCUAUCUGCCGUGGGCGCUGGAGAACUGAGGGGGGCUGCUCCUAGUACGAGAGGACCGGAGUGGACGCAUCACUGGUGUUCGGGUUGUCAUGCCAAUGGCACUGCCCGGUAGCUAAAUGCGGAAGAGAUAAGUGCUGAAAGCAUCUAAGCACGAAACUUGCCCCGAGAUGAGUUCUCCCUGACCCUUUAAGGGUCCUGAAGGAACGUUGAAGACGACGACGUUGAUAGGCCGGGUGUGUAAGCGCAGCGAUGCGUUGAGCUAACCGGUACUAAUGAACCGUGAGGCUUAACCUU
rnacentral:rRNA from 1 species